rnacentral:rRNA from 1 species
GCCGGGGACCUUCGGGCCUGGCGCGAUUGGAUGAGCCCAUGUCGGAUUAGCUAGUUGGCGGGUAAUGGCCCACCAAGGCGACGAUCCGUAGCUGGGUCUGAGAGGAUGAUCAGCCACACUGGAACUGAGACACGGUCCAGACUCCUACGGGAGGCAGCAGUAGGGAAUAUUGGACAAUGGGCGCAAGCCUGAUCCAGCCAUGCCGCGUGAGUGAAGAAGGCCCUCGGGUUGUAAAGCUCUUUUGUCCGGAAAGAAAAGCGCCGGGUUAAUAACCCUGGUGUCCUGACGGUACCGGAAGAAUAAGCACCGGCUAACUUCGUG